rnacentral:rRNA from 1 species
GAUGAACGCUAGCGGCAGGCCUAAUACAUGCAAGUUGAACGGUGUCUUCGGACAUAGUGGCGCACGGGUGCGUAACACGUAUGCAACCUACCUUACAUUGGGGGAUAGCCUUUCGAAAGGGAGAUUAAUACCGCAUAAGACAGUAGCUGGGCAUCCAGCAGCUGUUAAAGAUUUAUCGAUGUAAGCUGGGCAUGCGUCCAAUUAGCUAGUUGGUGAGGUAACGGCUAACCAAGGCAAUGAUUGGUAGGGGAACUGAGAGGUCAAUCCCCCACACUGGCACUGAGAUACGGGCCAGACUCCUACGGGAGGCAGCAGUAGGGAAUAUUGGGCAAUGGACGCAAGUCUGACCCAGCCAUGCCGCGUGCAGGAUGAAGGCGUUAUGCGUUGUAAACUGCUUUUAUACAGGAAGAAACGACUCUUGCGAGAGGCAUUGACGGUACUGUAUGAAUAAGCACCGGCUAACUCCGUGCCAGCAGCCGCCGUAAGAC